rnacentral:rRNA from 1 species
UACGGAGGGUGCGAACGUUAAUCGGAAUCACUGGGCGUAAAGCGUGCGCAGGCGGCUUUGCAAGACAGAUGUGAAAUCCCCGGGCUUAACCUGGGAACUGCAUUUGUGACUGCAUGGCUGGAGUGCGGCAGAGGGGGAUGGAAUUCCGCGUGUAGCAGUGAAAUGCGUAGAUAUGCGGAGGAACACCGAUGGCGAAGGCAAUCCCCUGGGCCUGCACUGACGCUCAUGCACGAAAGCGUGGGGAGCAAACAGG